GUGUGGCCUCAGUCCUUCGCCGUCCCUCGCCGUCCUUCGCCAUCGCACGCCACCGCACCCCAUCUCUCGAAAUCUGCAGACAUCUUGAUUUUUCCCACGCUGUCUGUCAGGUCUCCGCCGCCACUCGACGCCAGGGCGCCGGGCCUUGUGGGCUGUGCUGCACCUCGGACGGCUUCGCACCAGCCAGCGCCCUCUCUCUCCUGCAGCACUCUGAUCUGCACCCCCUGAGGGGCUUCCACUGUCCGCGGGGUGAGAAUGCCCCUGGGAGUGUCACAUGACUGCCGCCCCAUGUGUGUGAGAGGCGUCCUCUGGGAGAGCAUGGAUCCUGAGGUCCCAGGAACAUCCCGAGAGCCAAGUUCCCAGAUGCCAGCCAAGGGCCAUCUGACCUGUUUUGAAUCUCAAUUUCCUGAUACAGAAAACAAAGGAUUGUCAGCUGACCUCUGUCCUGUGUGCCCAGUGGCCCCAGGUGACGUGUCUUCAAGAAGAGGCUGAGCUGCGGUGCUUGUAAGGGUCUCAUUCUGUCACCCAGGCUGGAGUGCAGUGGUGCAAUGAUGGCUCACUGCAGCCUCGACCUGGGCUCAAGUGAUCCUCCACCUCAGCUUCCUGAGUAGCUGGGACCACAGAGUCAUGUGCUGUUCCUGGGGCUUGGAUGAUGUAGGGGAAGCAAGGUGAAAGUGGUAUCCCGUGGUUCCACGUUCUGUCCUGCUGUGGGGCUGUCCCUCACAUGCUUUCAGUGGCUGUUGCAGAGGAAGAGCCUCCGGAAAUCUGCGUGGGUAAAGUCUCAGCCUUAGAUCCAAGGACAGUCCAAGGAAGUCCUAAGACCAUGGAGUUGGUGAUCUGGGAUCUGGGUUUGCUGAUAUUUCUCACCGUGAAUCUCUUGGUGGUGUUUGUGGGCACGAGAGGGGCAGAGAAUGGAGAGUGAGGCUACCACAUGAAGCGUCACCAGAGCUGCUCCCUGCUGCCUGCUCAGAGCACCCCGGAUCCACUGUUCAAUCUGCACAAGAUUCGGGGUCCAGACAUGGGAGACUUCAGCUGCCUCAGAGGACCGUGGACAGGGAAGGCCAGCCUCGCAUCCCUCUGUCCAUGCCUGGAAUGACUUUAAUAACCAAGAGUUUUAUUUUUGAAUUUGUAGCUGUCGUUCACUUUUUACCCACCCAUUCAAUAAACCUUACAGAAUUGCU
rnacentral:lncRNA from 1 species